rnacentral:rRNA from 1 species
UACGUAGGGUGCAAGCGUUGUCCGGAAUUAUUGGGCGUAAAGAGCUCGUAGGCGGUCUGUCACGUCUGCUGUGAAAAUUCGGGGCUCAACCCCGGACCUGCAGUGGGUACGGGCAGACUAGAGUGCGGUAGGGGAGACUGGAAUUCCUGGUGUAGCGGUGAAAUGCGCAGAUAUCAGGAGGAACACCGGUGGCGAAGGCGGAUCUCUGGGCCAUUACUGACGCUGAGGAGCGAAAGCGUGGGGAGCGAACAGG